AGAUGGAGGGACCUUUGGACGGGCAAGAUCAGCCUUUGAACUUGAUAAAUGAACUUGGGACAAACCAGAUUCGGAAAGAUGAAAUGUGGUCAGAUUUGGAAAUGGGGGAUGGAUCGACCCUCCAUAUGGUUAUUUGGACCUUCCGAGUCUGGUGAUGGGCUAUCAGAGGAUUGGAGUAGCCGAAGUCUCCAAGCUUUGUGGAAAUUUGAAGUGGUAUUAUUUGCUGUCUGGCUUGGGCAAUGGGUUUGGGAUGGACUUGCUGCAAAGGGUCAAAAGCAUUUUCUUGCUGGAGCAUCCACGACUGGAAAGGAAUCAUCAACAAGAGUGGCGAAAGGGGCAAGAAAGAGACUUGAGGGCCUCGGAUACGAGACAACCAGGUUAAGGAGCCGGAUUAUCGAGGUUAAAAGGACUGACAAUCCCGGGUCCAGGGGAGGGGAGGUUGGAAGCUGACUGGACUGAAUUUGACUUAUUAUUUUUUCUUUUUUAUUUUUUAAUAUUGGGAAUGCUUACAAAUGUUUGAAGGAUGUUGAAUGAAAUUACAUGGCUUAAGUAAGGAUUGGUAAAUGAUUUGUAAAAAGGUAAUGAUGCAAGAAUUUGGUAAAUAUUGAAUAUAAGCUAUGAGUUUUAAAGUUUUUAUAUGACAAGAGGGAAAAUAGAAUAAGGAAACGUAAUGACAGAUUGUUAUGAAAAAACAGAAAGGAUUUGCUGUAAAGAUUAAAAAUUAAGAAACAAAAGAGGGAGGAGGAGGAAGUCUAGAAAGGAAGUCAAUAGAGAUUGUAAAGGACUUUAUAUUUUUGUUUUUCUGUUUCUCUUUUUUUUUUCUUUGCGGCUGGGUUUUCUUUUCUUUUUUGUUUAUGUACUAUUUUUGUUUUUUGUAUCCUUAAAUUUUUUUUUUGGAAAUUUUUGUUGUUAUUUUUUGAAAAUUCAAUAAAUA